UACACUCCUACGGGAGGCAGCAGUGGGGAAUUUUGGACAAUGGGCGAAAGCCUGAUCCAGCAAUGCCGCGUGAGUGAAGAAGGCCUUCGGGUUGUAAAGCUCUUUUGUCAGGGAAGAAACGGUGAAAGCUAAUAUCUUUUGCUAAUGACGGUACCUGAAGAAUAAGCACCGGCUAACUACGUGCCAGCAGCCGCGGUAAUACGUAGGGUGCAAGCGUUAAUCGGAAUUACUGGGCGUAAAGCGUGCGCAGGCGGUUUUGUAAGUCUGAUGUGAAAUCCCCGGGCUCAACCUGGGAAUUGCAUUGGAGACUGCAAGGCUAGAAUCUGGCAGAGGGGGGUAGAAUUCCACGUGUAGCAGUGAAAUGCGUAGAUAUGUGGAGGAACACCGAUGGCGAAGGCAGCCCCCUGGGUCAAGAUUGACGCUCAUGCACGAAAGCGUGGGGAGCAAACAGGAUUAGAUACCCGUGUAGUCCCAU
rnacentral:rRNA from 1 species